AAUAUUGCAGUUUGUAGGGUAAAUAGGACAUACAUGCAACCUCAUAAUCCCAUUGACACCUCUUUCCUCUGCAAAUCUCACAUUUUGAAACUGCUACUGAAAACGGGCAGAUCUUAAAAAAAGCUCAUGGUUGA